CCUACGGGCGGCUGCAGUGGGGAAUAUUGCACAAUGGGCGCAAGCCUGAUGCAGCCAUGCCGCGUGUGUGAAGAAGGCCUUCGGGUUGUAAAGCACUUUCAGCGGGGAGGAAGGCGGUGAGGUUAAUAACCUCAUCGAUUGACGUUACCCGCAGAAGAAGCACCGGCUAACUCCGUGCCAGCAGCCGCGGUAAUACGGAGGGUGCACGCGUUAAUCGGAAUUACUGGGCGUAAAGCGCACGCAGGCGGUCUGUCAAGUCGGAUGUGAAAUCCCCGGGCUCAACCUGGGAACUGCAUUCGAAACUGGCAGGCUAGAGUCUUGUAGAGGGGGGUAGAAUUCCAGGUGUAGCGGUGAAAUGCGUAGAGAUCUGGAGGAAUACCGGUGGCGAAGGCGGCCCCCUGGACAAAGACUGACGCUCAGGUGCGAAAGCGUGGGGAGCAAACAGGAUUAGAUACCCCUGUAGUC
rnacentral:rRNA from 1 species